UGCACAGACUGCUGGGUCAUGAGCUCUGAUAGGAAUUCCAGCUUUCUUUAGUCCAAUGAUGGCUCAGGCUGAGCAGCACCUGUAAAUACAAAUGAGCUGGGCAACAGUGAAUACUCCGCAAACUCAAUUUAAAGCAUACAUUUGAGUAGGCUGCAUCUGUACUGUGUUGCUGCGCACACAGAGCGGAGAGCAUCAAGGUCAGUCACACAGCAAAACAGAUGUCCCAGGUAACCUGCUCUACUACCCGGGGAAGACAGUGUUAUCCCAGGGAAGGCAGGAAUCAGCUGAACCAAGUUGAGUUCCAACAGGCAGAGAACGAGCAUUAAGCAUGCAGGUUAAGUACAAUCAGCACCUUUCUGCCUGUUUCAAGCCUCUGGGAGUCAAACCAGGUCAGCGGGAGGUUGACUAAACAAAUUAUCAGUAUUUUAUUCCAAGAUUUGGCCAUGGCCCUCACUCCCCUCACUGCUUGAAAUGUGGGAAUGGAAGCAGUUCUUCAACACAACAAUAGUGUUAUCAGCACUUCCAGAACCCCGCUGGUUCUCAUAAUUACCUUGCAUUUGGGUGGCCCUCUCUAUUGAUUUUGGCAGUGAUAAACCUGGACCCAAACUGAGUGUGAAACCAUAGGACCAUCAGCAGGCAGGUAGCAUAUGGAAGACUGGCUGUAGCUCAUCCACAGUUCACCAACACAACAAUUCCCGGAUUUCCUGUCAGCACUCAAGAGUUGUCUUGUGCACUUUACAUUUGAUAUUAUGAGGAUCCACUAAAUACAGAUUCACGUUUUACAUUAA